GCUUCAUUGGUCACAAAAAGGGAAGGGCUUCGAACAGGUCCCACCCAGCUGUAACAGACAUGCCUAUUUAGAGUCAAUGCUGUCUUGAAUACAGCAGACUCCCUCCGCCACAGGCUUUGACAGAAGAGACAAAAUGCAGCGGGUAUCAUUGGCAUUGGUCAUUUUCACCAUUGCAAUAAUUACAAUACAAUCUGUGCCCAUAGAAACAAGUGGUGAAAUCAUCCUCCUAUCUCUUUUGAUUGAGAAAACGCAACACAUCAGCACGAGCCAGUUGCGCAGGAGAAGGGGGACCGAUGACUCCUUCAAGAAACCCUCCCACUCCUGCUCUGGCUGCUACUCUGUCAUAGGGGACCCCACUACAACAUGAUCAUCACGCCAGUGAGGAGCUGGUUUCACCCUUCCAGAGGACAAAUCAACAAACGCGGAAUCACCAGAAACUCCACUCCAAAGAACAAGAAGAAACUACUAAACAGAGGAACUAUCCUCAAAGUAAAUAUCGUCACUGCUCCCCCUUUUUUUCCACAUUCGAGAAUUUAUAUUGAGGAGACGCUGUUUUGUUGAACUAUGUGUUGAACUCUGUGUUUUCUAAGAUAAACGAAUGACACUGUU